GAUGCGAGCUGCUAGGGCUGUAAAAGUGUAUGACUAUAGUAAGUCAAUAGUGCGCCUUAGCCUUAGUACAUAUAUCUUAAUAUAGAAUAUUUGUAUACGUGUAGUGUAUGCAAGUGUCUGGUUUUCAAAUAGUGUCUAGAAAUUGAGGGUCUAAUUUUUUUAAAUCAUUGAGAGUAUUCGGCUCACCCUUUCAUAACAAUAGACGCGCGCUACAUACGUAAAAAUACUCGGCGCAUCGUUGGCUGUUGCAUCUUACACACCAGAACUUUUAUAAUGGACAUGUAGCUUUAAUAAAUGCUUUUAAUAUAACAUGAAUUUUUAUCAGACAUGAAUUUCGAUAAUUACACAAGUCGAUGUUGCAUUCGAUAUUUUAUCACUUUUUAAAUGUUGUGGAUUAUAAAGUUAAUUUACAAUCUUUUUGCUCUCGCGUCAUUUUAAUUCUAAAGAUGCGACAUGUUGCUACGCUUACCUAAAAAGAAUGUAAUGGGUUCCUAGCUUACUACACUGUUCACGUCAAUAAUAGUCAGUUCAAGAAGCAUAGCUUCUCUUAAGGGUUAAGUAAUCUGAAGCUGUUACACAACUGCAGGUUUUGACUAACAUUUUGGCGUCCAUGGUGUCAUGGGAAAUUAUUCCAAUGUUAGGGAGGAUUCAAAAAAUUAAAUGAAUAGGUACAAUUUAACUAUAAAUUAUUCCCUACCAACAAAAUAGCGAUAUCAUUUAAAAAAUCACGACGGCUCAAGAGAUGCCGCUUCAUCCAUUGGUUCCAGUUGCUAAGAUAGGAUAAUUUUGGUUCCAAUAGGAGACUCCGUUAGCAAGAUCGAUUAGAGGUAGUUUACACAAAGUAGAAUAAGUACUUAAGUAAAAAAAAGUACGAAAACAAAUUUUAAUUUUUAUUAGGCACCGACUCCAAAAUUGGUAACCAGUAAGAUAUACUUAGCUAAUGUUAAAUUAUUUUUUGGUUUUUAGUGGUUUUUGAAGGUGGUACUUAAGUACCUAUAAUUUUUUGUUAAAGUUUUUAUUUUUUGCUUUUGUGUGUUAGUAAAAAUCAGUAUAUACGUUAAGAACAUCAUAGUUGACAACAUCAUUUUAAAAGUUUUCUGAUCUAUCUCCGAAGUCAAGGGUCCAACGACAAUGAAACCAAUGAGCAGCGCGGGCCUCCGGCGCACCUGACGGUGGUUCGUGUUGUUUCUAUAAACACACGGGAAGCAUCAAAAUGAAAAAAGAAUAAAUAACAAAGCUUUCGAAUAAAAAAAGGAUCAUCAAAAUCGGUUUAGCUAGUCAAAAGUUCUUAGGUUAGUUAAGUAAUAUUUGUGAUGACAAUACCAAUUGUUUAGAAACUGUGCAGUUAUUUUUGGAAUCCAAUAAUACCUAAAUAUCAGUAUCUUGCUUACUAGAAAUUCGUAUGCUGCUGUAUCCGAGGAAAAGCUCACGAAGAUAUGGAGAGAUCACCGCAUAACUAAAAAUACAAAGGGUCGCUUAAUGAGAUGUUUAGUUUUUCCUAUUUUCCUGUAUGGUACUGAAGCAUGGCCGAAUCCAACACAAAUGUCGUAAAAAGUUUGACGCCCUUAAGAUGUGAUGCUGAAGGCGCUUGCUAAGAGUUAAAGGGAUUGCUGGCAUUACUAACGCUUCCAUCCUGAAAGAGCUUUGCUUUGUAAUGAAAGCUCUUUGUAACGAUUGUUGGUACUCGGAAGAGUAUAAGGUAAACGUCCUCAGGACCGAAUACCCACCAAAUGGACAGACGUCAUUAAAUUGUCUACAAAGUGUUCGCUUACUGAAUGUACACGCAGUGCCAUGAAUAGAGAGAGAUGAAGAAGUCUCACAAAAGUCGCAACCAAUUUUCCAAAUGAUCCAUAAGCACUACCACUCUGCCAGAAGUGUACGACUGAGAAGAAGAAUUUUCUUUCACCUUCUUUUGUCCGUGUAGAAGUGUAGUGUCAGAAGCGGUGGCAAAAUUUGGAUAGCCUACUGGUGGCAAAUGUGUUAAUCCGCCACUGCCUACGUUUAGUAGUAGACGGCAAUACACGGAUUGAACCAAUCAUGAAAAUGAAUGAUCUUCCUGAAAACAUAUUAUACAUUAAGUUGGGACUGAGGCUGGGCCGUACAUACCAUUAAUCGAUGGCCUAGAUGAGAGCAAAAAGAAGUACUUAAAUAUGGCCAUCAUAACAACUGCAUAUUAAUAAGAUGACACGCGUGCCGAUUCGUCCACAGUUACAUCUUUGAAAUGUUAUUUGUCUGAUACACUAAGCCGAAAAUUCAUUUUAUGUAAAUAGUGUACUCGUGCCAACAAGUAUUAAAACACAGUAAUUGCUGAAUAAAGAUGUACUCAAUAUAAGUAAAUGAUCCAUUUGCUACAUGCAACUUAUCAUCUAAAAAGGACGAUAUCCAAAUAUAGAAAAUUUACAUAAUAUAUCUUGUAGUCUAUCCAUACACAUCUCUAACCUGCCCCGCCAUACUUCGUUAGAUAAAAAAAGUCAAAUACAUAAGUUCUAUUUCUUUUUUCAUUCACAAUGUUUGCACAUACCGGUUGCUA